rnacentral:rRNA from 1 species
AGCGAACGCUGGCGGCAGGCUUAACACAUGCAAGUCGAACGGGCACUUUGGUGCUAGUGGCAGACGGGUGAGUAACGCGUGGGAACGUGCCUUUCGGUUCGGAAUAAUUCAGGGAAACUUGGACUAAUACCGGAUACGCCCUUCGGGGGAAAGAUUUAUCGCCGAAAGAUCGGCCCGCGUCUGAUUAGCUAGUUGGUGAGGUAAUGGCUCACCAAGGCGACGAUCAGUAGCUGGUCUGAGAGGAUGAUCAGCCACAUUGGGACUGAGACACGGCCCAAACUCCUACGGGAGGCAGCAGUGGGGAAUAUUGGACAAUGGGCGCGAGCCUGAUCCAGCCAUGCCGCGUGAGUGAUGAAGGCCUUCGGGUUGUAAAGCUCUUUUGUCCGGGAAGAUAAUGACUGUACCGGAAGAAUAAGCCCCGGCUAACUUCGUGCCAGCCGCCGCUGUAAAAC